rnacentral:rRNA from 1 species
AGAACGAACGCUGGCGGCAUGCCUAAUACAUGCAAGUCGAACGAAUGCCCUUCGGGGUGUUAGUGGCGCACGGGUGCGUAACGCGUGGGAAUCUGCCCUUGGGUUCGGAAUAACAGUUAGAAAUGACUGCUAAUACCGGAUGAUAUCGAAAGAUCAAAGAUUUAUCGCCCAGGGAUGAGCCCGCGUAGGAUUAGCUAGUUGGUGAGGUAAAGGCUCACCAAGGCGACGAUCCUUAGCUGGUCUGAGAGGAUGAUCAGCCACACUGGGACUGAGACACGGCCCAGACUCCUACGGGAGGCAGCAGUAGGGAAUAUGGACAAUGGGCGCAAGCCUGAUCCAGCAAAUGCCGCGUGAGUGAUGAAGCGUUAGGUUGUAAAGCUCUUUACCGAGAUGACUAAUGACA